GCCGGGUGUGGUGGCUCAUGCCUGUAAUCCCAGCACUUUGGGAGGCGAGGCGGGUGGAUCACCUGAGGCCAGGAGUUUGAGACUAGCCUGGCCAACAUGGUGAAACCCCGUCUCUA
rnacentral:SRP_RNA from 1 species